UGUCAAGGGCUUUUGUGAUGGUAAUGCUAUGUUAUUAUACAGGACAAAAGGGGAGUGGCCUCGGGGUCCAGGGAACUAGAAGUUUAGUUCCGUCCGAAAAGGACUAUGUAUUCCAUAGCAAGGGGUUUGGGCAGGGCUGCUGGCAGUACUGUGCUAAGUCUGGUUGCCAAAAGGGCCCACAGGGCAGAUAUCCAGAAGUCCCCUCCUUGCCCCAUGCCUUUUCUCCGUGACAUGAGAAAAGUGGUGGAAAUGUUGCGGAAGAUUUCAGCUGCCUCUGCAGGGAUGUCUCCAGCCCAAAAGGCCAGGUGACAGCCUAGUAGGAAUUGCUCGAGUUUCCACGUAAGUACUGCCUGGGGCCUGAAGGACUCACGGAACCCUGAAAAGCAGACAGGUUCCCGGCGGGCAGGUUCUGGAGCACUUGUGCUAGGGAGAGACAGUAGCCGAGAAAAGCUCGUGAUUCCUGAGCUGAAGGUUGAAAGACUCCUGCUUCCUCUGCCGGCUGCCAAUGUUGUAACAGAAAAUGCUCUCCUCAUAGCAAAUGGACAGAGAGUGGUCGCCUAAGAGCAUUCACUUCCUCAGCAUUCUUACAGACUGGCGUUGAAGGAAUUCCAGAUCCCUAAUUGGCAGGAAGUUUGGUGGCCGAAACAUUUCCUGGACAACCCUGGCUCCCAGCAGCUGUAUGGUGAGAAACCAAAUUAUAACCCAAACACUGCUAAAGAAGCAUGGAUCCGAUAAGAGAAGAAAAAGAAUCUUAGGAAGUAUCCUUCUAUUGUAAGCUUUUUAACAGGACCGUGGCCAUGGAAGUUGUAAUCCACUAAGUAGUGUUCAAAACUCACCUGCCAAAUCAACUAUCCCUGAAAAUGGAUGGUGCUGAAGCAUGAGGCCCAUACCCAGCCAUCGUUGACAGUCAGUGACUCCAUGAGAGGGACCGGGACUCAUGGUGGUGGUUCCUGCUGGGGCCUCCGCCAACCUCCACCCUGCAGAUGCUAUGCCAUGCAGAGUAGGAGCACUGCCAAGUUUUCUGGCCUUUGUUGAGGAAAUUGAACCAUGCGCUCCAAGUUUGAAAUAUAAUAAUGAGGAAAGAUGUGCACCAAACAUGGCAAGAAGGCUGCAGAACUUCUGGACCUGAGGCAGCUUGUGGAGUUGGGACAUGUCCAUCUGAAAGGAGAAGGCUCUGUCUUCCUAAGUGGAUGCUGUGAUAGUCCACCCAGAUCCCCAUCGCUCUUCUCUCCAGGACUGAAGAACCCAUCCCGAUGAAUAUGAAACCUAAGCAGAUGCAAUCAUGAUUGUAAUGCUGUUCUCCUUUAAUCCUGCAUUUGGCCAGCUCUGUCAGUGUGCCAGCUCUGAGUCUUCCAUAUUUCUACUUGUCUCUUCGGCCUCUCUUGACACCAUGGGAAUAUGCCUUGGUUACCCUGUUGGAGGGUGAGACAUGUGGAUGAGAGCGAUCGCCUUGGUCAACAGUCAGCUGGCUCUGGACAUGUAAGUACAGCAAAGUUACACAUAGCCAUCUAGCCAGCCCUCCUGUUGACCCUGAACAUGUGAAUAAUAUACUCACACAGAUGAAUUAUAAUCCAAUAAAUAGAGUGGAAGAAUGGUAUGAAUAAAACCAUGUAUCUAUUUAUUCAUCUCUCUGGGUUUUAAAAUGUGAAAAGAAGCACCUUUCCAAAUGCUACCUAUACUGGUGCUUAUUUCACAAAUAGUUUUAGUUACAAGUAUUUUAGUUAUGAGUAUUUUAGCUGCUGAGUAUUAUCUAGAAAUACAUCCAUGAUUGUAUGUUAUGUGCUGCAGAACUACCUAAAUCUUUUUAAAAGAGCCUUAUUUUGAGACACUUUAAAAUUUGCCUCAUCACCUAGGAAAAUGGGCAGGAAGAUGAAGUUAUUUGACUCCUUAGCCUAGGAGUUGUUCUUGGGGAAAAAAGGUAAUAAUACCUUCUAAACUUAAUUUGCUCUUUCCUCCUCCAGGGUUUUCAAACUAUGCCCAAAUGCUCUCACACACAGUUCAAAACAUCCAGGUUUAUUAGAGUGUUGUUACUCUCAGGAAUAUAUCCACCCACACAGCCAGUAGUUUUUGUAGAAAUUCAAGGCAAAGUGGUAUUCAGUGAACCUUAUGGAAUUAAGAAGGAGCAAAGUAUCAAUAAAGAAUUUAAGGAGGUACACAGUAAAGACACAGAACUACUCAAUUCACUCCCAUUCUUUUUAUAAAGUUUGCCAUCAGACUUCGUAUCCCUUCGGCCUGUUGUCAAUAGCUAUUCAUAUGGGCUUCACACAACAAAUGAUUAUUAUACCACCUGAUAGCAGGGGCAUAAGGGUGAUGAUUAAUCUUCAUCCUUCGUUCAUAACACACAUUGUUGGUCCAGACAUGACCUUCUUUUAUUAUUCACUUAGUUAGAUAUGCAGAUGUUUGUAUUUAUUUCUCUAUGUUAAUAAUAAGAACCUAAGAAAUCACCACUCAACAUGAAAAAUAGAACCUUGAUAAUAACUUAGAUUAACAUAUGUGAUCCUAUACAACAGCAGAAACCUGGAAACAACCCAUUAUCUAUACAGAGGGGAAUGGACGAAUGAAAUAUGUAUGUUCACAGAAAAGAAUAUCAUACAGAAGUUAAAAUGAAUAAAUUGUAGCAAGAUAUGUUAUGUGAAACCCAGAAUUUUUAAGUUAAAAAAAUCCCAAAAGAUAAAUGUAUCCUUGGCUUUGCAAAAGCUUUUCACUUUGAAUUAGUCCUGUUUAUUUCUGCUUUUGUUGCCUUUCCCUGAUGAGACAAAUCCAAAAAAAAAAAAAAUUGCUCAAACUGAUGUCAAACAGCUUACUGCUUAGAUUUUCAUCUAGGAGUUUCAUGGUUUCAAAUCUUACAUUUAUUUUUGUAUAUGGUGUAAGAAAGGGGUUCACUUUUCUCAACAACAUUUAUUGAAAAGACUGUCUUUUUCCCAUUUUAUGUUACUGCCUUCUUAAUCAUAUAUUAAUCAAGGGUUUAUUUUUGGACUCUCGGUUCUAUUGAUCUGUGUGUCUGUUUUUGUGCCAGUACCAUACUA